rnacentral:rRNA from 1 species
GAUGAACGCUGGCGGCGUGCCUAAUACAUGCAAGUCGAGCGAACGGACGAGAAGCUUGCUUCUCUGAUGUUAGCGGCGGACGGGUGAGUAACACGUGGAUAACCUACCUAUAAGACUGGGAUAACUUCGGGAAACCGUAGCUAAUACCGGAUAAUAUUUUGAACCGCAUGGUUCAAAAGUGAAAGACGGUCUUGCUGUCACUUAUAGAUGGAUCCGCGCUGCAUUAGCUAGUUGGUAAGGUAACGGCUUACCAAGGCAACGAUGCAUAGCCGACCUGAGAGGGGGGGCAGGCACAAUGGGACUGGAGCCCGGGUCAGGCGCACGCCGGGAGCAACAAGAGGGAAUGCGCCCGAAUGGGGAGAAGCCCGGACGGGCCAGCGCGGAGGGAGGGAUAAAGUUCUAGGUAUCUAAAAACUUUUUUAUGGGGAAAAAACAUAUUGGUAAGAACUUGUGCACUCCGGGAGGGUACCUAAUAAAAAGCCCACGCCAAACCCGGGC